AGGAAAUAAACAUCAACCAAUCACAAUGGUUCAAUAGGAAAGCCAUGUAUAUUUCAAUUAAGCAAUAUAUAUUUUUACGUUUCUUUCCAUUCUGCUAACAGGAGAGGAAGCUCAACGACUAGCUGAACAAGUUUCUGAUAAAAUAUCAGGUUCUUCUGACUUCACUAUCAUCAAAACAUUGCAUUCAGGACGGGCCAGCCGUUCUAGUGCUGGAAAAGAUGAUUCAAAGUCUCUUGGUCUACCACUGGGUCUGGGUAUUGGCCUGCUAUUCUUGUUAUUACUGGUGAUCGUAGUGGUUAUAUGCAGAAGAAAGAGAUCUGCAGAACCUAGGCGUCGUCGGUAUGGAACUGGGACCGAGGAAAGGAUGCGUAGUCAUUCACUACAGUUGAUAGAGGAAAGCCAAAGUAGAAUAGAGAUGCAAGAGAUGCAUACUGAUAGCCCUAAAGACACACAUCACGACACACACGGCGACUAUCAGAAACUGCAGUCUGACAAUUUGUUGUACGUUAGUGGAAAA